rnacentral:rRNA from 1 species
GAUGAACGCUGGCGGCGUGCCUAAUACAUGCAAGUCGAGCGAACAGACGAGGAGCUUGCUCCUUCGACGUUAGCGGCGGACGGGUGAGUAACACGUAGGUAACCUACCUAUAAGACUGGGAUAACUUCGGGAAACCGGAGCUAAUACCGGAUAAUAUUUCGAACCGCAUGGUUCAAUAGUGAAAGAUGGCUUUGCUAUCACUUAUAGAUGGACCUGCGCCGGAUUAGCUAGUUGGUAAGGUAACGGCUUACCAAGGCAACGAUGCGUAGCCGACCUGAGAGGGUGAUCGGCCACACUGGAACUGAGACACGGUCCAGACUCCUACGGGAGGCAGCAGUAGGGAAUCUUCCGCAAUGGGCGAAAGCCUGACGGAGCAACGCCGCGUGAGUGAUGAAGGUCUUCGGAUCGUAAAACUCUGUUAUUAGGGAAGAACAAACGUGUAAGUAACUGUGCACGUCUUGACGGUACCUAAUCAGAAAGCCACGGCUAACUACGUG